GAGCUCACGGUGAUCCUCCUGCCUCAGCCUCCCCAGUGCUGCGGUUAGAAGCCUGCGCCACACGCCAGACUCCCAUGGUAAUUUACAUGGAGUCCAAACUCCAGUCAGGCCUUUCCUCUAAACUCUCGACUCCCUGGAGCUUUCUUGUCUUUCCUCGCCACUCCUCGGGCUGAGACUCUGCAGGGGCAGACACCCCCACCCCCGCUCUGCGCCCUUGCCCAGCGCACAGCCUAGAAGCAUCGCUGGGAAUCUUACUCCUUCCUCUCCCGCGCUCCCUUCCCUUUUAUGGCUCUCCGCCGAGUCAUCACGAAGAAGACGGAAGUCUCUUCUCUUCCCCUCCGGUUCCGGCGCCCGUGUUCUCGCUGGACCACGGAGCUCUCAGGGACCCUCUGCGCCUCACCACACACCCACCGAACGAAGACUGUGACGCAGCUGCUGAGCGUGAAAGUCGGUGGAACCCAGGGCUUUGUGAAAAUCAGAUAGUCCUUCUCAUCAGCGGCUAUGACGUGUUCGGCCCCCACCCCCGCCAAGUACCGGUGAGCUGCUGAAGUGACUUUGGCACAGGUGGCCCUCCCAACUGAACAUCAUGCCUAAGGAAGAAGAUUUGUGAAGGGUACCUAAGCAUAAUGAGAAGCCCCACCAUGCAGAUGACAGGAGCUGGAAAUGACAAAGACGCCCGUCAAGUGGAAAAACGACAGCUUCACCUAACUUUCCCAUUGUCUCGAGGCUGAGGCAGCAGCAGAAAUAGCAGCAGUCCUGGAAGCAGAGUCACAGCCUGACUCUCACCUGCCACACUCUCGCACCCACAGGAAGUCACAGCCGGGGCCGUCAUCUUACAGGACAAAGGACACCGACAUGAAUGAGUGUGAAGUGUAAAGAUCUCCACAAAUCGUCCUAAGUCAUGCAGUCAGCCAGGCUGGUGCCAAAACUGCUUGUGACACACACACACACACACACGCACACAUACACACACACACCGUCGCACAGAUUUCCUUGGCCAUCUGGCUCCCUUGGUUCCUGAGGAUGACACAACAUUUCUUUCGCCCAGUGGGGUCCUGAAAUUAGCCUAGGGGACAGGAACCCUUCCCAAAAAGGGCCUGGUGGUG